GGACGAACCUCUGGUGUUUCAGUUGUUCCGCCCGUAGCACCUCUGAUUAGCUCCGUUCGGUAUGGCUCACCGCUGACAUCAUCUAAGCGGGAAGCCGGCCUCAAGAUGAGACUUCCAUACCUUCGGGUGAGAGGCUCCCAGCCAGACUACUGGGUUGAUAGGCCAGAUGUGGAAGCACGGUAACGUGUGCAGCUGACUGGUACUAAUAAGCCGAUGACUUGAUAACACACC
rnacentral:rRNA from 1 species